rnacentral:rRNA from 1 species
UACGUAGGCAGCGAGCGUUGUUCGGAAUUACUGGGCGUAAAGAGUGUGUAGGCGGUGCUCCCAGUCUGUUGUGAAAUCUCCCGGCUUAACUGGGAGGGUGCAGCGGAAACUAGAGUGCUAGAGGGUGGGAGAGGUAAGCGGAAUUCCUGGUGUAGCGGUGAAAUGCGUAGAUAUCAGGAGGAACACCUGUGGUGUAGACGGCUCUCUGGACCGCAACUGACGCUGAGACACGAAAGCGUGGGUAGCAAACAGG